rnacentral:rRNA from 1 species
GUGAAGAGUUUGAUCCUGGCUCAGAGUGAACGCUGGCGGCAGGCCUAACACAUGCAAGUCGAACGGCAGCACAGUAAGAGCUUGCUCUUAUGGGUGGCGAGUGGCGGACGGGUGAGGAAUACAUCGGAAUCUACUCUUUCGUGGGGGAUAACGUAGGGAAACUUACGCUAAUACCGCAUACGACCUACGGGUGAAAGCGGAGGACCUUCGGGCUUCGCGCGAUUGAAUGAGCCGAUGUCGGAUUAGCUAGUUGGCGGGGUAAAGGCCCACCAAGGCGACGAUCCGUAGCUGGUCUGAGAGGAUGAUCAGCCACACUGGAACUGAGACACGGUCCAGACUCCUACGGGAGGCAGCAGUGGGGAAUUUUGGACAAUGGGCGCAAGCCUGAUCCAGCAAUGCCGCGUGCGGGAAGAAGGCCUUCGGGUUGUAAACCGCUUUUGUACGGAACGAAAAGGCUCUGGCUAAUACCUGGGGCUGAUGACGGUACCGUAAGAAUAAGCACCGGCUAACUACGUGCCAGCAGCCGCGG